ACAGGAGCGCACGACGUUAUGAAGAGGCUUAUUUCACCACCGCCCGUCGAGACGCUCUGGGCGUCCUAAGCUCGGAUUUUGGCCAACCGCGUGCGGGAACACACGGGAGACCAGCUUCCGUCCAAAAUCCUUAUAGGAUUGGUGGACGACAAUUUGUGACACCCAGGCAGACGUGCCCUCGACCAAAAGGCUUAGGGCGCAACUUGCGUUCAAAGACUCGAUGGGUCACGGGAUUCUGCGAUUCACACCAAGUAUCGCAUUUCACUACUUUCUUCAUCGAUGCGAGAGCCGAGAUAUCCGUUGCCGAAAGUCGUUUUAUACUUUAAAUGCAGCGAGACAUUCACACACAAACCAUCUCUGGUGCGGCGAAUGCAAGCUGUUUAUUUGCCUGUUCCUUGACACUUUUCCUGCCGGGGUUUGGUGAAAUCCGGAGGAAACAUGCAUGACUUCUCCUUGUAAUGAAUACUGACGAAGCCAAACAUGAAACCCCGGAAUCCGUAAGCACAAUAACUGUUAACAAACCGGCCUACCGAKAGUGAGGAUCARUUGUUCUCGGGUCGUACUGU
rnacentral:misc_RNA from 1 species